GACGUAGGGGACGAGCGUUGUCCGGAAUCAUUGGGCGUAAAGAGCGCGUAGGCGGCCCGGUAAGUCCGCUGUAAAAGUCCAGGGCUCAACCCUGGAAAGCCGGUGGAUACUGUCGGGCUAGAGUCCGGAAGAGGCGAGUGGAAUUCCUGGUGUAGCGGUGGAAUGCGCAGAUAUCAGGAGGAACACCGAUGGCGAAGGCAGCUCGCUGGGACGGUACUGACGCUGAGGCGCGAAAGCGUGGGGAGCGAACAGG
rnacentral:rRNA from 1 species